rnacentral:lncRNA from 1 species
UUUUGGACCAAGAUGCAAUGAAACUUCUUGUGGCCUCAUCAUUUCUUGUCCACUUGUCAUCCAUCUUCUUAAGUACAUUGGAGAUGUUAUGUAGCCUAUCUUGAACGUUGUCAAUGCUGACCUGGUGCCAGCCAAUGUUGUCAUAGGCGUAUGCUGAAAGUUCUAUCAGUUCCUCGUGCAUUGACUCUAUCGUUUUUGUGUAUCAGCUACUCGCCGGCUGGUGUAGACUCGGCAUCGGUCGAUGCAAUUAAGUGUUCGUCGGUCGAUCUCGGCGACUUACCAUCGACCGAUUUCACUCGCUUUCUGUCGAUCGAUGCUGAUAUCUGGUGUUGAGCUGCGAGUUGCCUCUGAAUGGCUUUGACUUCUUUCUGUAGCCAUUCUGCGUGGCUGUCUAGUCCACCGAAUCUGUUGUCGAAUGGAAAGUAGAUAUCAUCGCAGCGUUUGUCAAGUCGUUCCUCCAUGGUGUCUAUAGCAGUGUAGAUCUUGGAUGUGAUCUUGUCAACCUCUGCUGCUGUGUAGGGAAGUAACUCCACAGGAUUCUUGCCAUUGAUCCAUGGCCCUCGUAGCCUGUCGAUCGAAAAUGAGUUUGCC